UCCCUUUGAGAAGGGCAACUUGCUAGUCUCACUAGACUCGUCCUUCCAAUUGAAGUUUAUCAUCAUAUGGGAAACUUCCUAAAUCUUUUGUCUAUUAUUAGGGAUUGAUAUAAUCAAAUUAUAUCUUGAAAUCUAUCAUUAUAGAUUUCCAUCCCAUGUUAUAGACUAUGUCUCCCAUAUACAUUCUAUCGUUAUAGAAUUGUUUAAAGUCAUAACUUUAACAAAGAAGUAUUCUUUUCAUUUCCAAAAUUAAUAUAUCAUAUAUAUAUUUAAAUUUUUUGGAACAUGAUUAACUCCCACUAAUCUUUUGUAAACCUAGUAAACAAAAAGAUUCAUUUACAUCUUUAUGAGAAAUCAAACGAUUUGAUCCUUUCUCUCAUAAGACGCUUAUAGCUCCCACUAGCUUGCUAAGAUCCAUGAUGGAUGGAUCUAUACAACUUACAUGUCUUGUGAUUCAUAGUUUUAGACAUAUAUUAU
rnacentral:lncRNA from 1 species